rnacentral:rRNA from 1 species
GACGAACGCUGGCGGCGUGCCUAAUACAUGCAAGUCGAACGCAGUGGGGACGGGUGAGUAACACGUGGGUAACCUCCCAUAAGAGGGAUAACACUUGGAAACAGGUGCUAAACCGAUAUUGAUGGAUGGACCCGCGUUGCAUUAGCUAGUUGGUGAGGUAACGGCUCACCAAGGCCACGAUGCAUAGCCGACCUGAGAGGGGCGUCAUCCCCACUGGGACUGAGACACGGCCCAGAGUCCUCCUUGACCCAACAUAAACAAAUCUUCGGCAGUUGACGAAAGUCUGACCGAGCAACGCCGCGUGAGUGAAGAGUUUUUUCGGAUCUUAAAACUCUGUUGUUAGAGAAGCGGUAUCUAACCAGAAAGCCACGGCUAACUACGUGCCAGCAGCCGCGGUAAUUC